rnacentral:rRNA from 1 species
GGGUCAGUAGGUUGGUCGUGCCACCGGUACGUACUGGUCUCACUGAUUCCUCCUCCCUGAAGAACCGUAAUGCCAUUAAUUUGGUGUUGCGGGGAAACAGGACUGUUACUUUGAAAAAAUUAGAGUGUUUAAAGCAAGCUAACGCUUGAAUACAUUAGCAUGGAAUAAUGAAAUAGGACGAUCGAUCCUAUUUUGUUGGUCUCUAGGAUUGACGUA